GCAAUCUGUCAUCUCCUCUGUCUUAUUUCCAAGUGGUUCAUAUCUGAGGUGAUAGAGAGGGAAUGCUGAUUACUGGGCUGUUUCAAAGACCCCCGUCAUCUCAACUCCCCUCUCCCCGCAGUCCUCCUCAUAUCACGAUUUUUAUUUUUUUUCGGAAAGCUCAGUGACCAUCUCGCUAUGAAGGGGAAAAGCUGUCAGUCCGACCACCUGGUGUGGAGCAAGCCCUCUUCAAGGGGAGACAUCUCUUAACCAUGUGCCUGUUCACUAGAACCAGCACCCAAGAGUACCCAGAAAGCAAGAAAGAGAAGAGAGCUCUUAUAUGCCACCACCAUGGCCCCAAACCCACUCCUGUGAGUGGCCCUGAGGCUACCAGAUAGAAUGAUUAUCUAUCCGCCCAAGAAUCAAGGGAGACUGGCAAAACCUCCAGCCUGCAGGACCAGAGGGCCAAGAGGAAGAGAUUAAGAGGCAGAGCCCGUCUCUGGUGUGGACACCAAAUGAUCCACCACCUGUGCACAGCCACCUCUCAAGGGUUCUGGUGAGAGACCCCAAAAGAGGGUGAGAGACUUGAGUGGGUGUACAUGGUAGGCAAACCGUGCCCUUGAUCAAAGUGGAAUUCAUACCGCCAGAUGUCCCAACUUCCAUGGGACAGUUGGUGGCAGGGGGAGGGGUGGACACACCAUUGAUGUUCUAUAAACAAAUAGGGACCGUGUGGAAGCCAUUCCAGGGCUGGUGGCAGCAAUGGUGACAUUAUAUACCAUUUUAGGGGCAGUCACAAGCAUGGUUCCAGCAGCAGCACAGCAGCCAGGGCUAGCUGCACUCUCUGUACCAGGCAGACAGUACUGGCUUCUUCCAGAACCGCUUCUGUAAUGUGAUUUGGGUCACCGUUCUUAGUGGUUUGGCUUUCUGACCAUUCCAGGGAUUCAGAAACUAUCCAGUAUCCUUUUUAAAAAAUUUUUUUUUCUUUUUUGUUUAAAUUAGCCAUAGUUGGUUUCUCUCAUUUUGAGCUAAGCUGCCUGCCUGCAGCAGCCACUCCCGGAGGCCAGGGUCUGCUGCCAUUAGCCGCUUGGAGGCAGGUCAAGAACACAGCCCCACUGGACCCCCUGAUGACGGGCUGGAAAUUCUGGGCUCCAAGAGCAGCCAGAACUAUAACCAGAUGUGCUGCAGCCACCAUGGGCAGCCUCUCUCUGGCAUCCCUAAAUCUUAAAAAGUUGGGUUAAAAUGCACAGCUGGUCUCAGCUGCAGUGCGGAAAGCGUUGCAUCUACUCCUGGGAACCUAGUGUUAUAGGGGAGAGCGCUGUCGGCACAACCCUCAACCCCAGGAGGGCAGGAGCGCCCCCUGCCCUUUCUGAGCGCCCCUGCAGAAGAGGCCCGCAAUGCCGCUGAGAACUGCCGGUGGUCAGCGCGGAGGCUGGCCGUCCGGAAGGAGCUGAUGGAGUCACAGGCGGAGAGCCAGGGCAUGGUGACCACCCCUGCCAGCGCCACAGGGCAGGGAAGCGUGGAAAGGGAGGUGGGGGUAGAGGGAACACGCUGCUGUGGUGCCAGGGGAACACCGGAUUUGGCCCAAGCGUAGAUACAAAGAAAAAAGAUUCAGAAGUACAAUUAUCCACAUGCUAGUGGUGCAUCUCUCUGGACAAAGUAUAUUCCCCUGACUUUAUUUUGCUCUUUGUACUCCUCUGCAUUUGCCAAAGUCUCUGCAGGGACCAGGUAUUCUCUCUGCAAUCUUUGUAACAACAGAAAAUGAAAAGGGGGAGAGGAGGGAGACAGCAAGAGGAAGAAGGAGAAGAGGGAACAAGAGAAAACGACGAACAUGCUCUUGAGUGUGGCGGCGCUUCCCUGGAGAAAUAACAGCCCAAUGCCCCUGACAAUCAUUCAUUCGCUCUGCCUUUCUUUCUUUUAGGAAAGGAGUGACAACCGAUCCCUUGAGGAAACACGGAAAGGAGAAGGAGGGGCAGGUACUCCCCACGGUGAAGUAAGAGACGGGGCUUGUCUGAGCCUUCAGCAUCCGGGAACAUUUGCCAAAGGUGGCGACGACGGGGGACCCUGAGGACCUGGCCUUGCUCCAGUGCAGCAGCUGCAUCCUGCCUGCUGCCGGUGCCACGGAGCCCCUACUCCUGAGCACAGUGUUGGGGAUCCCUGCCGUCGCCAGCACCUUCCACACCCCCUCUCUACUUUAGCACCUAGAGAAAAUACGAGAGUGAUCGUUUAAGGUUAAACUAUUCUAUGAAGGAAAUAAAACUAUUGUCCAGCAA